rnacentral:lncRNA from 1 species
CUCUCUCUAGUGGGUUCUGCCACCAACUAAACUCCACAACUGAUGCAAACAAAAGAGGAAAAGAGGUUAACAAAAAGUAACCGGCUAGGAAACAUUCAAGCAACCUGUUAGAACAGAAAGCACACACUGCAAGAGUCUGUUGCUAAAAGUCCAUAAAUAUAUGCUAAGGGUAAAAAAAUAUUAUAUGAAUGCUUGCUUCCGUCAACUAUAAUUUUCCA